UUGCGCAAUGGGCGAAAGCCUGACGCAGCGACGCCGCGUGAGGGAUGAAGGUUUUCGGAUCGUAAACCUCUGUUGACAAUCAGAAGGGAAGAAACUACGUUGUGCUAAUCAGCAGCGUACUGACGGUACCUUCAAAGGAUGUACCGUCCGGCUAACUCCGUGCCAGCUGACGUACGUAGAAGUACGGAGCAGUGCAACCGUUAAUCGGAAUUCUGGGCUAAAGCGCACGAUCGGACGUACADGGUGACGUGGACGUUACGUACGGGGUACGUACUACUGA
rnacentral:rRNA from 1 species